rnacentral:rRNA from 1 species
CCUACGGGCGGCAGCAGUGGGGAAUAUUGGACAAUGGGCGAAAGCCUGAUCCAGCCAUGCCGCGUGUGUGAAGCAGGCCUUCGGGUUGUAAAGCACUUUCAGUGGGGAAGAAAGCCUUGGGGCUAAUAUCCUCGAGGAAGGACAUCACCCACAGAAGAAGCACCGGCUAACUCCGUGCCAGCAGCCGCGGUAAUACGGAGGGUGCGAGCGUUAAUCGGAAUUACUGGGCGUAAAGCGCGCGUAGGCGGUCUGAUAAGCCGGUUGUGAAAGCCCCGGGCUCAACCUGGGAACGGCAUCCGGAACUGUCAGGCUAGAGUGCAGGAGAGGAAGGUAGAAUUCCCGGUGUAGCGGUGAAAUGCGUAGAGAUCGGGAGGAAUACCAGUGGCGAAGGCGGCCUUCUGGACUGACACUGACGCUGAGGUGCGAAAGCGUGGGUAGCAAACAGGAUUAGAUACCCGAGUAGUC